AAAGUUUUGGUCCUGGGCUUACCGUUAUUUUUUAUUAAGAUUAUACAUGCAAGCUUCAGCAAACCAGUGAAAAUGCCCACUACCCCUAAAAAGACAUAUUGGAGCAGGCAUCAGGCACCCACUUAAACCCGAGCCCACGACGCCUUGCCACGCCACACCCCCACGGGUGAAUCAGCAGUAAUAAACAUUGAGCUAUAAGUGAAAACUUGACUCAACUAUAAUAACCUAAGGCCGGUCAAUUUCGUGCCAGCCACCGCGGUUAUACGAAAGGCUAAAAAUAAUGACAAACGGCGUAAAAUGUGACUAGAGACUCUUAAUAUUAAAAAUGUUUAAACCUACAACCUAGUUGUAAAAUACUAAAGAAAUAGAGAAAACCAACAAAGACACUUUUAAUUUUACCUUCUUGACCUCACGAAAGCUUAGAAACAAACUAGGAUUAGAUACCCUACUAUGCUAAGCCCUAAACAUUGAUUUAAUCAUAAUACAACACUCUCCGCCAGAGAACUACAAGUAAAAAACUUGAAACUCAAAGGACUUGACGGUGUCCCAUAUCGACCUAGAGGAGCCUGUCCUAUAAUCGAUAACCCCCGUUCCACCCCACCCUAACUAGCAUACCAGCUUAUAUACCGCCGUCGACAGCCUACCCCUUGAGGGUUAAACAGUAGACACAAUUGCUCAACCGUUAAUACGUCAGGUCAAGGUGUAGCACAUGUUAGGGAAGCGAUUGGCUACAUUUUUUAUCUUAAAAGAUACGAAAGGCACUAUGAAACAAUGCAUGAAGGUGAAUUUAGUAGUAAAGUAGAUAAGAGUGUCUGCUUUAACAACGCUCUGGGACGCGUACACACCGCCCGUCACCCUCCUCAAACAAACAUUAUUUUAUAUAAAUCAAAAUUUAAUACAAGAGGAGGUAAGUCGUAACAUGGUAAGCGUACCGGAAGGUGUGCUUGGACUAA
rnacentral:ncRNA from 1 species